GAUGAACGCUGGCGGCGUGCCUAAUACAUGCAAGUCGAGCGAACGGACGAGAAGCUUGCUUCUCUGAUGUUAGCGGCGGACGGGUGAGUAACACGUGGAUAACCUACCUAUAAGACUGGGAUAACUUCGGGAAACCGUAGCUAAUACCGGAUAAUAUUUUGAACCGCAUGGUUCAAAAGUGAAAGACGGUCUUGCUGUCACUUAUAGAUGGAUCCGCGCUGCAUUAGCUAGUUGGUAAGGUAACGGCUUACCAAGGCAACGAUGCAUAGCCGACCUGAGAGGGGGAUCGGCCACACUGGAGCUGAGACACGGUCCAGACUCCUACGGGAGGCAGCAGUAGGGAAUCUUCCGCAAUGGGCGAAAGCCUGACGGAGCAACGCCGCGUGAGUGAUGAAGGUCUUCGGAUCGUAAAACUCUGUUAUUAGGGAAGAACAUAUGUGUAAGUAACUGUGCACAUCUUGACGGUUCCUAAUCAGAAAGCCACGGCUAACUACGUG
rnacentral:rRNA from 1 species